AUUGAACGCUGGCGGCAGGCCUAACACAUGCAAGUCGAACGAGUGGCGGACGGGUGAGUAAUGUCUGGAAAAAUGCCCGAUGGAGGGGGAUAACUACUGGAAACGGUAGCUAAUACCGCAUACUAUCGGAUGAUCCCAUCUGGGAUUAGCUAGUAGGUGGGGCAAAGGCUAACCUAGGCGACGAUCUCUAGCUGGUCUGAGAGGAUGAGCAGCAGCACUGGGACUGAGACACGGCCCAGACUCCUACGGUAGGCAGCAGUGGUGAAGAUUGCACAAUGGGAGCAAGCCUGAUGCAGCCAUGCCGCGUGUAUGAAGAAGGCCUUAGGGUUGUAAAGUACUUUCAGCGGGGAGGCGUUACCCGCAGAAGAAGCACCGGCUAACUCCGUGCCAGCAGCCGCGGUAAUUC
rnacentral:rRNA from 1 species